UUGUUACACAAACACUCCAUUUGAGAACGGAUAGAAUUCCUGAUCGCUGGCGUAUACCUAAAUUCUAACAUAUAUAAAGUGUAUGAAGUUUGUGAUUAAACAAAUUUAUAUUUAAAGUAUAGGAAACAUGAGUAUUAUUAAUUGUCUCUUGAUUUGUCUUACAAUGAAAAAUUUUGCUUUAUUGUUCAAAAGAAUUAUUAUGAUAUGUGUUUAAUCCAAUCAAAUACUCCUCUACAUUACUCCCACAAAUUACAUAAAGUAAUAGAGGCGUAAUGAAGAGGAAUAUCAACCGCCCCAACUUCACGCAACAGAAGGAGAAACAAAGAGCGACGAUUUUCUCGCGCUUUUUACCAAAAAGGCUUAUUAUUAUCCCGCCAACACUACAAGCAAUCAACAAGAGAAAACGGAAAGCAACAGGAGCGAUACCCAAGUGAACACAGAGAACAUCAAGCAAAGUGAAUAUCAUAUAAUUUCGUCAACGAUAACAAGUGAACACAACAAGAUCCACGCAAAUUCAUCAACAAUACUCCACAGCGAGGGAAUAAACCCAACACACAAAACGGAUAAAAAUAUUUGUAAUUACAAGAACAUGUAUGUAUAUUAACACUAGCUAAUAAGAAAUUAAGCACAUUUAAUCAAUAUUGGAAACACAUACACACACACUCAUAGUUGUAUAAUCCCAAUGAAGUAUUAAAUUCGUAAAUUAUAACGUUUGAACUAAAACGAAUAUUUUUUAAUUAAACGCAAUCGGCCCCAUACGUCGACAUACCCCGACAUUUUUGGUCCUAUCGAGCCGCGAUAAUUAAAAGAAAAAAUCUUCGUGGGAAUUUUAACAACAGCAUCAUCGUUGGAAUUCCACAACCCAACCUGAAGGUUUUAAACAGUGCACCCAACAAACAAAAAGCUUGCAUGCUGGACCCCCAAAUACCCCAACGAUUAAAUAAAACCAAAAACCGGGAAAAAGCUAUUCUGCAAGGUGGCCGGGAUGUUUAAUGCAAUCAAAUACUCCUCUGCAUUACUCCCACAAAUUACAUAAAGUUAUAGAGGCGUAAUGCAGAGGAAUAUCAACCGCCCCAACUUCACGCAACAGAAGGAGAAACAAAAAGAGACGAUUUUCCCGCGCUUUUUACCAAGAAGACUUAUUAUUAUCCAGCCAACACUACAAACAAUCAACAAGUGAAAACGGAAAGCAACAGGAGCGAUACCCAAGUGAACACAGAGAACAUCAAACAAAGUGAAUAUCAUACAAUUUCUUCAACGAUAACAAGUGAACACAAUAAGUGAGACAUAUUAUAAGUGAGUACGAGUGUAAUAAAACGUUUUCAAACAAGUAAUACGGAUACAACAUAAGGAUCCACGCAAAUUCAUCAACAAUACUCCACAGCGAGGGACUAAACCUAACACACAAAACGGAUAAAAAUAUUUGUAAUUUCAAGAACAUGUAUGUAUGUUCAGUGUUAAUAGAAAUUUAACACUAGCUAAUAAGAAAUUAAGCACAUUUAAUCAAUAUUGGAAACACACACACACACUCAUAGUUGUAUAAACCCAAUGAAGUAUUAAAUUCAUAAAUUAUAACGUUUGAACUAAAACCAAUAUCUUUUAUUUCUUUUGGUCCACUCGUUAUCAAUUAUAAUUUCCAAUUUGUCCACGAAUAAGUUAACUAACAGCUCUAUUCUGAAAAAACCUCUCAACUGAGUUGAUAGGAAAAAUUUGGGAGAUUUCUUGUGAGGCAUAUUUUGUGAAGCUAUUCUUGCUCAAACCUCAUAAGAAAAAAGCUUAAACAAGUCACCAUGAGUACAAAAACCGAAAGGACAACUCAGGAGCAGCUGCAACAUUAUGUAAUGUUUUGCAAGCAGCAUCCUGAGUUGCAACGGGGGAAGCUAACUCCGACCAACCCUUAAGGGCUGCAAAUACUUUGGUCGGAGUUAGCAGAUACCUUAAAUGCCUUAAGAGGUCCAACUCGGUCGGAGUCCUUAAUGCAUUGGAAACAUCAGUUGCGAUCGCGAGCGCGCAAACUUAAGACACAUGCGCAAGCGACUGGUGGAGGCCCUCCGAUAAAAGGAAUAACGCAGUUCGAGGAGCAAGCCAUUUGGGGCAGCAGCGGUGGAUGGAUUGCCGGUGUGGGGACUUUGGGUCACCAGAUUUUGCCGCCGUUGUAUUUAAAUACAGAACCAGUUCUCGCUCAACCUCCAGCUUCCUUCCCAACAGUCACAUUGCCUGUUCCAGCUUUUCCAGCUCUCUCAAUCAAUUUUUCUUCCUCACCAUCACCUCCAGAUUUGUCCUCUUCUUCCUUAUCUCCUCCCAUCUUACGUUCUCCUAUGCCAUCGCCUACUUACAUUCCUUCUGAAGGUAAAUUGACUGCAGCGAAGAUGCUUGGAGCAGUGCUAAAAAAAAUGGAGGACCUUAAAAAGCGAGAGGAGGAGGCCAUUGCUCUACAAAAGAAAAUUGUAGAGCAAAACGAGCAGAUGACGAACCAAAUGUCACAAGCACUAACCUCGAUGUCAGAGGUUAUGGUUAAAUUGUGCGAAUAAAAUAAAUAAUAAUAAAAUUAAAAUAUAUUGAUUUAUUUAAACAUAUGUAUUGUAUUGUGCGCAAAAUUAAAUAAAUAAUAAUAAAACUAA